GAUAAACGCUGGCGGCGCACAUAAGACAUGCAAGUCGAACGGACUUAACCAUUAGUUUACUAUUGGAGCGGUUAGUGGCGGACUGGUGAGUAACACGUAAGCAACCUGCCUGUUAGAGGGGAACAACAGUUAGAAAUGACUGCUAAUACCGCAUAUGCCUUAACUAUCGCAUGAUAGAAGAGGGAAAGGAGCAAUCCGCUGAAAGAUGGACUCGCGUCCGAUUAGCUAGUUGGUGGGGUAAAGGCCUACCAAGGCGACGAUCGGUAGCCGGACUGAGAGGUUGAACGGCCACAUUGGGACUGAGACACGGCCCAG
rnacentral:rRNA from 1 species